AGAGUUUGAUCCUGGCUCAGGAUGAACGCUAGCGGCAGGCCUAACACAUGCAAGUCGAGGGGUAGAUGUCUUCGGACAUUGAGACCGGCGCACGGGUGCGUAACGCGUAUGCAAUCUACCUUAUACUAAGGGAUAGCCCAGAGAAAUUUGGAUUAAUACCUUAUGGUUAAUAAAACCGGCAUCGGUUUAAUUAUAAAGAUUUAUUGGUAUAAGAUGAGCAUGCGUCCCAUUAGUUAGUUGGUAAGGUAACGGCUUACCAAGACGAUGAUGGGUAGGGGUCCUGAGAGGGAGAUCCCCCACACUGGUACUGAGACACGGACCAGACUCCUACGGGAGGCAGCAGUGAGGAAUAUUGGUCAAUGGAGGCAACUCUGAACCAGCCAUGCCGCGUGCAGGAUGACGGUCCUAUGGAUUGUAAACUGCUUUUAUACGGGAAGAAAACGAGUUACGUGUAACUAACUGACGGUACCGUAAGAAUAAGGAUCGGCUAACUCCGUGCCAGCAGCCGCGGUAAUACGGAGGAUCCAAGCGUUAUCCGGAAUCAUUGGGUUUAAAGGGUCCGUAGGCGGCCUUAUAAGUCAGCGGUGAAAGUUUUUGGCUUAACCAAAAAAUUGCCAUUGAUACUGUAGGGCUUGAAUUAUUGUGAAGUAACUAGAAUAUGUAGUGUAGCGGUGAAAUGCUUAGAUAUUACAUGGAAUACCAAUUGCGAAGGCAGGUUACUAACAAUGGAUUGACGCUGAUGGACGAAAGCGUGGGUAGCGAACAGGAUUAGAUACCCUGGUAGUCCACGCC
rnacentral:rRNA from 1 species